UAAUACGAAGGGCCCGAGCGUUGCGCGGAAUCAUUGGGCUUAAAGCGUGCGUAGGCGGACGCGCAAGCACCUUGUGAAAUCCCUCGGCUCAACCGAGGAACUGCUUGGUGAACUGCGCGUCUUGAGGCGAGUAGGGGCUGUCGGAACGAUAGGUGGAGCGGUGAAAUGCGUUGAUAUCUAUCGGAACGCCGAAGGCGAAGGCAGGCAGCUGGGCUCGAUCUGACGCUGAGGCACGAAAGCGUGGGGAGCGAACGGGAUUAGAUACCCCGGUAGUCCACGCCGUAAACGAUGUGCACUAGGUCGAGGGGGUUCUGACGCCAUUCUCGGCCGAAGCAAAAGUGUUAAGUGCACCGCCUGGGGAGUACGGUCGCAAGGCUA
rnacentral:rRNA from 1 species